rnacentral:rRNA from 1 species
AUUGAACGCUGGCGGCAGGCCUAACACAUGCAAGUCGAACGAGUGGCGGACGGGUGAGUAAUGUCUGGGAAACUGCCCGAUGGAGGGGGAUAACUACUGGAAACGGUAGCUAAUACCGCAUACCAUCGGAUGUGCCCAGAUGGGACUAGCUUGUAGUUGAGGUAACGGCUCACCUAGGCGACGAUCCCUAUCUGGUCUGAGAGGAUGACCAGCCAAACUGGAACUGAUGCACGGUCCGGACUCGGACGGGAGGCAGUAGUGGGGAAUAGGGCACAAUGGGCGCAAGACUGAUGCAGCCAUGCCGCGUGUAUGAAGAAGGCCUUCGGGUUGUAAAGUACUUGCAGCGGGGAGGCGUUACCCGCAGAAGAAGCACCGGCUAACUCCGUGCCAGCCGCCGCGGUAAUAC